rnacentral:rRNA from 1 species
CCUACGGGAGGCAGCAGUGAGGAAUAUUGGUCAAUGGACGAGAGUCUGAACCAGCCAAGUAGCGUGAAGGAUGACUGCCCUAUGGGUUGUAAACUUCUUUUAUAAAGGAAUAAAACGAGGCACGUGUGCCGUUUUGCAUGUACUUUAUGAAUAAGGAUCGGCUAACUCGGUGCCAGCAGCCGCGGUAAUACGGAGGAUCCGAGCGUUAUCCGGAUUUAUUGGGUUUAAAGGGAGCGUAGAUGGGUUGUUAAGUCAGUUGUGAAAGUUUGCGGCUCAACCGUAAAAUUGCAAUUGAUACUGGCAGUCUUGAGUACAGUUGAGGUAGGCGGAAUUCGUGGUGUAGCGGUGAAAUGCUUAGAUAUCACGAAGAACCCCGAUUGCGAAGGCAGCUUACUAAACUGUGACUGACAUUGAUGCUCGAAAGUGUGGGUAUCAAACAGGAUUAGAUACCCCUGUAGUC